rnacentral:lncRNA from 1 species
GGGGCCUGUGCUUCCAGCGGGUGGUGGGGGGCCUGGUGUGCUGGCAUCAAGUAAGCCGACUACCUCGGCAAAGGCUUAGGGACAAGAGACCAGCAGCCUGAACUGGCUGGGGCAUCCGGAAGGCUUAGAUCUUGUGGCCAAGAGUUCAGACCGUGGCGAAGUGGAGAGUGACAUGCAGUUGGAUGGCGGUGACUGCGUGGUAUGGAAGAAAAUUCAGCUGAAAUUUGCUAGAAAAUGAGUUGUUUUGGAAAGAGACUGUAGAGAAAGGCAAAUGGAAGAAGAAAGCUUCUGUGCCCCCACAGAUACCGACUGAAAAGUGUUAGCAUGAGCAAAAGUUCCUAUCUAAUAUUAUAUGCUUUCCUUUGCUCCCAGGUCCUGCAACCCUGGUUCCAGUCUGGCAAGCAUUGUAGACCUGGCUGCUGAAGACUGACGGGGCCCAGGGUCCGCUGCCCCCACCGCCAUCACCACCUCGGAACCCAGGGUAACGCUGUCAGUCUUUGAUGAUGUCAGAAGUGGGAUCCAAAGUAGAGCUUAUAAUGACACCUAGGAGUGCUGAGUGACCAAGCAAGGUACCCACCAGGCCGAUUAUGUCCAUUGUUCUCUUGGAGCAGCUGGUCAUCAUGAGCCAAUAAAACUUUUCUUUUGAGUGAUUUGCAGCUUUUAACAAACUGAACCUGCUUAUUUCUGUGAACCAACCAGUGAUCUCUUAUGGCUGUUCAAAAGUAACAAGAGAGAUAUCACCUUUUGUCAUAACUCAAGUCUUAUGAAUGGCCCUCACCAUAAUGAUGCUUUUUGACUGAGCUCUUC